AACGAACGCUGGCGGCGCGCCUAAUACAUGCAAGUCGAGCGAGAAGACGUAGCAAUACGUUUGUAAAGCGGCGAACGGGUGAGGAAUACAUGGGUAACCUACCCUCGAGUGGGGAAUAACUAGCCGAAAGGUUAGCUAAUACCGCGUACGCUCCUUGGACUUCGGUUCAGGGAGGAAAGCGAUACCGUGGGUAUCGCGCUCUUGGAUGGGCUCAUGUCCUAUCAGCUUGUUGGUGAGGUAACGGCUCACCAAGGCUUCGACGGGUAGCUGGUCUGAGAGGACGAUCAGCCACACUGGCACUGCGACACGGGCCAGACUCCUACGGGAGGCAGCAGUAAGGAAUAUUGCGCAAUGGGCGAAAGCCUGACGCAGCGACGCCGCGUGGGGGAUGGAAGGUCUUCGGAUUGUAAACCCCUUUCGGGAGGGAAGAUGGAACGAGCAAUCGUUCGGACGGUACC
rnacentral:rRNA from 1 species